UAUGGGAUACCUAAAAUUCCCAUGGCAAACUGCUCAGUAACACAUGAUCAACUUGCCCUAUAGAGAAAAAUAACCUCGGGAAACUGAGGAUAGUUUUUCAUAGUUGAAUAGGCUUGGAAAAGUUUUUCACUAAAAGGGGUAAGGAAAAUGGUCCUUAUCUGCUAUAGGAUAGGAUCGUGUUCGAUUAUGGUUGUUGGUGAGGUAAUGGCUCACCAAGCCGAUAAUCGAUAGGGGCCGUGAGAGCGGAAGCCCCGAUAUGGGUACUGAGACAGCGACCCAGGCCUUACGAGGCGCAGCAGGCGCGAAACCUCCACAAUACACGAAAGUGUGAUGGGGUUACCCAAAGUGUUCUAUUUAGAACUGUAGUAGGUGAGUAAUGUUCCCUACUAGAAAGGAGAGGGCAAGGCUGGUGCCAGCCGCCGCGGUAAAACCAGCUCUUCAAGUGGUCGGGAUAAUUAUUGGGCUUAAAGUGUCCGUAGCCGGUUUAGUAAGUUCCUGGUAAAAUCGGGUAGCUUAACUAUCUGCAUGCUAGGAAUACUGCUAUACUAGAGGGCGGGAGAGGUCUGAGGUACUACAGGGGUAGGGGUGAAAUCUU
rnacentral:rRNA from 1 species